rnacentral:misc_RNA from 1 species
GAAAUGCGAUACGUAAUAUGAAUUGCAGAAUUCAGUGAAUCAUCGAAUCUUUGAACGCACCUUGCGCUCCUUGGUAUUCCUUGGAGCAUGCCUGUUUGAGUAUCAUGAAAUCUUCAAAGUGAAUCUUUUGUUAACUCAAUUGGUUUCUACUUUGGUAUUGGAGGUCUUUGCAGCUUCACACCUGCUCCUCUUUGUUCAUUAGCUGGAUCUCAGUGUUAUGCUUGGUUCCACUCGGCGUGAUAAGUUAUCUAUCGCUGAGGACACUGUAAAAGGUGGCCAAGGUAAAUGCAGAUGAACCGCUUCUAAUAGUCCAUUGACUUGGACAAUACUUUUAUGAUCUGAUCUCAAAUCAGGUAGGACUACCCGCUGAACUUAAGC